UACGUAGGCAGCAAGCGUUGUUCGGAAUUACUGGGCGUAAAGCGUGCGCAGGCGGUUUUGUAAGACUGUCGUGAAAUCCCCGGGCUUAACCUGGGAAUGGCGAUGGUGACUGCAAGGCUAGAGUUUGGCAGAGGGGGGUAGAAUUCCACGUGUAGCAGUGAAAUGCGUAGAUAUGUGGAGGAACACCGAUGGCGAAGGCAGCCCCCUGGGUCAAAACUGACGCUCAUGCACGAAAGCGUGGGGAGCAAACAGG
rnacentral:rRNA from 1 species